UACGUAGGGUGCGAGCGUUGUCCGGAAUUAUUGGGCGUAAAGAGCUCGUAGGCGGCUCGUCGCGUCGACCGUGAAAACCCGCGGCUUAACUGCGGGCUUGCGGUUGAUACGGGCGGGCUAGAGUUCGGUAGGGGAGACUGGAAUUCCUGGUGUAGCGGUGAAAUGCGCAGAUAUCAGGAGGAACACCGGUGGCGAAGGCGGGUCUCUGGGCCGAUACUGACGCUGAGGAGCGAAAGCUAGGGGAGCAAACGGG
rnacentral:rRNA from 1 species